UGGAUGCCCUGGCAGUCAGAGGCGAUGAAGGGCGUGCUAAUCUGCGAUAAGCGCCGGUAAGGUGAUAUGAACCGUUAUAACCGGCGAUACCCGAAUGGGGAAACCCAGUGUGAUUCGUCACACUAUCAUUAACUGAAUCCAUAGGUUAAUGAGGCGAACCGGGGGAACUGAAACAUCUAAGUACCCCGAGGAAAAGAAAUCAACCGAGAUUCCCCCAGUAGCGGCGAGCGAACGGGGAGGAGCCCAGAGCCUGAAUCAGCAUGUGUGUUAGUGGAAGCGUCUGGAAAGGCGCGCGAUACAGGGUGACAGCCCCGUACACAAAAGCGCAUGUGCUGUGAGCUCGAUGAGUAGGGCGGGACACGUGGUAUCCUGUCUGAAUAUGGGGGGACCAUCCUCCAAGGCUAAAUACUCCUGACUGACCGAUAGUGAACCAGUACCGUGAGGGAAAGGCGAAAAGAACCCCGGCGAGGGGAGUGAAAAAGAACCUGAAACCGU
rnacentral:rRNA from 2 species